CUCGUAGGCGGCUUGUCGCGUCGGGAGUGAAAGCCCGCUGCUUAACGGCGGGUUGGCUUCCGGUACGGGCAGGCUGGAGUGUGGCAGGGGAGACUGGAAUUCCUGGUGUAGCGGCGGAAUGCGCAGAUAUCAGGAGGAACACCGGUGGCGAAGGCGGGUCUCUGGGCCAUUACUGACGCUGAGGAGCGAAAGCGUGGGGAGCGAACA
rnacentral:rRNA from 1 species